rnacentral:snoRNA from 1 species
AAGACUAUGCUUUCAGAGAUCAUUUCUAGACUUUGUUGCUAGUGAAUUUUCUUUAAGUGAUAUGUGGAGGACCCAAAACCAUGAUGAGAAGCCAAAGCAUCAUUUGCUAAGUGUGAAUUGCUUCUGCAACUGCCUUUUACUGAUGAUUUUUCUCUUCCCUUGGAAGGAGAGGGAAAAAAUUUAUAAUGA